UUUAACACCUAAGUAGAAAACUUAAUGGGUUUUGCUCAAGUAGAGCUUCUCCCAGGAGCACAUGGGCUUAGUGAUCUGCAGCUGUGAAAACCUGUCAGUCGAAAGCUAUGCCACUCCCUUUAACUGACGUCCAGGGAAGCAUUAGAUAUAAUGGUAGGACUUGGUAACCUUAUGGCAUUAGGAGGAAAGAAAGCAUCAAAACUAGCUCUUUUCACAUUUAGGAUUCCAGAAUAAUACUGCUAUUGAAAAACAUUGUGUUGUAGAAGAGGGAAUCAGUUAUUGUGGUAAAAAUCAGAAGAUUCAAUUCCAAAUAAGAUGUGCUCUAGUUUAAACAUAUUAAAAGUUCAUUGCGAGCAAGCCAUCUAAGUGAAGAUAAUUUGUACUUCAUGUGCACAGAAUUUGAAGGAAGAGAAAGAAGAAUACUUUGAAGACACGAAAGGAUAUUGAGAAUGGCAAAAAUAAAACCAAAACAAGAAAUGCAAUAUUAAGGAGAAAGAAAUGUUUUUAAAUAGUCAGCAGAGUCGGCUAACAGAAUUCAAGGAAGAUGAGGACUGAGUAUCAAUCCGUUUUAUUUGGUUAGAAAGAUUUCAUUUUAAAAAAGAAGUUUCACUGCAGAAGAGGAUUAGUGAUUGAAGACUCACCAAAAAAUCCAAGGAAUACGGGAUGAAUAACACUAGAAUGGGUCAAAGUAAAGAAAAACUGGUUUAGGAACCUGAGAAAGGAAAAUCUGUGUGCAGAGGAGGGGAGUUUAUUUAAUUAAAGAGUGUUUGUGUCAUGUGUAUGGGAGGGUAUGUGUAUGUGUAGGGAGGGUAGAAACAACCGAAGCUCUCAGUACAAGCAAUAAGUAGGUGGACACUUGAUAGAGAUAUUUGGAGAGAAAAAACAGGUGAGGAUAAGGAUGUCAGAAAUGCAUCAGUAUCAGGAAGCACGUGAUUCUCAGCAGAGACAGAGCUCUUCCCACUUAAGGAAACAGGUUGGUAUCUCAGAAACAUUUCUUCCAGCUCCCCAUAGCUCCCAGAGUUUCUAUAUAAUGUUCCUGAAAAUGGUGUGUGCUCCAAAUGAAAAGCUAUUUUAUAUGUUUUUUAAAAAUGUUAAUGGGAAAAUGUGGUGCAUAUGAAGUAUAUAGAGGCAUAAAAGGUUUUGAGGAGCUACUAGAAUGUAAGUAAGUCUAAAAAUCUAAGAGAUAAAGUUAGUAAAUGGACAUCAACAUGAAAAUUGUUGUUGCAAAAAGGCAAUAGGACAUAGCAGAAGAGUUCUGGGAUUAGAAGGACCUGGGUUUAAUUCUGGCUUUGCCAUUUGGGAAAACAUUCCAAAGUUCAUUUAUUUCUUCAGCUCUUGAAGGAGAUACUGAUAUGUGCUGUUAUAACAUGAGUUUUC
rnacentral:lncRNA from 10 species